AGACUACCUUUCUCUCUGCAAGUAUUGACAAUUCUGUUUUUGUAUGGUGAUAAUUUCAGGGAAUACGUGGUGAUGAGGCAUCAGUGUUGCAAUCAUCUGUUUGUGAGUGAUCAAAGAUGUUUCGCAAGCCAUAGCAAGAAAAAAGAGGUUUUGUGAGAACUUCAACAACCAGAGAUGAGAUUGAGACUACCCAACAACAACUGUGUGAGUGAUCGAUGGGACCCAUGUCUAUACAAGAAUUCCUGGAGGGAAACAAGCCUUGUACUUUCCUGAAGGGCAAGUCCACCCCAACAAAAAGUUUCUUUGAUAUAAUAGAGAAAAGUCCAAUGAGCAUAACACUGAACAUUUCAUCAAAAUUUGAUGUAAAAUGAGAAAGUGUUGACAUUUUGAAGUUUCGCUUAUUUUCACAAAACAGAUAUAUGCACAUCCUGGUCAGUAUGCAAAUGAGUGACAAAGUGACGUUCUCCACUCAGUGUUUCUUUUUGUAAUAUACUAGUAUCAUGAUUUUUUCCCCCUCAUAAUGUGUAUAAAGUACAGGUGUAAUAUGGUUUGAUUUCUCCCUGAAACUUUUGUAAAAAGCCAUUGUGGCAACCUAUACUCAAUUCGAUGAAGAGUUUUCUCAUAAUUGU